UAAACUUUUUAUUAUUAUUCUUUUCCUCUGUGUAGAUUACCAUCUGCGUCCUCUGUGCAGGAGGGUAUAACUUCUGAUGCUGCCCAGACAGAAAGGUACUUCUGCUAUUGUGUUACAGCACGUGGAAAUUAUGGCCAAUAGGGUAAGUACCCAGGAGGCUCACAGGGG